ACUCAAAGGAAUAGACGGGGGCCCGCACAAGCGGUGGAGCAUGUGGCUUAAUUCGAUGCAACGCGAAGAACCUUACCAGGGCUUGACAUGGAUCUGCAAGCUACCGAAAAGUAGUCGCCUUCGAGGGUGAUUCACAGGUGGUGCAUGGCUGUCGUCAGCUCGUGUUGUGAAAUGUUGGGUUAAGUCCCGCAACGAGCGCAACCCUCAUGUUCUGUUACCAGCGAGUAAAGUCGGGGACUCGGAACAAACUGCCGCUGUAAAGCGGAGGAAGGUGGGGAUGACGUCAAGUCAUCAUGCCCCUUACGCCCUGGGCUGCACACAUGCUACAAUGGCCGGCACAAAGAGCUGCGAAACUGCGAAGUGGAGCAAAUCUCAAAAAACCGGUCCCAGUUCGGAUUGGAGUCUGCAACUCGACUCCAUGAAGUCGGAAUCGCUAGUAACCGCCGGUCAGCAAUACGGCGGUGAAUACGUUCCCGGGCCUUGCACACACCGCCCGU
rnacentral:rRNA from 1 species